CGGCCACAUUGGGACUGAGACACGGCCCAGACUCCUACGGGAGGCAGCAGUGGGGGAUAUUGCGCAAUGGGGGCAACCCUGACGCAGCAACGCCGCGUGAAGGAUGAAGGUUUUCGGAUUGUAAACUUCUUUUAUUAAGGACGAAAAAUGACGGUACUUAAUGAAUAAGCUCCGGCUAACUACGUGCCAGCAGCCGCGGUAAUACGUAGGGAGCAAGCGUUGUCCGGAUUUACUGGGUGUAAAGGGUGCGUAGGCGGCUUUGCAAGUCAGAUGUGAAAUCUAUGGGCUCAACCCAUAAACUGCAUUUGAAACUGUAGAGCUUGAGUGAAGUAGAGGCAGGCGGAAUUCCCCGUGUAGCGGUGAAAUGCGUAGAGAUGGGGAGGAACACCAGUGGCGAAGGCGGCCUGCUGGGCUUUAACUGACGCUGAGGCACGAAAGCAUGGGUAGCAAACAGGAUUAGAUACCCUGGUAGUCCAUGCCGUAAACGAUGAUUACUAGGUGUUGGAGGAUUGACCCCUUCAGUGCCGCAGUUAACACAAUAAGUAAUCCACCUGGGGAGUACGACCGCAAGGUUGAAACUCAAAGGAAUUGACGGGGGCCCGCACAAGCAGUGGAGUAUGUGGUUUAAUUCGAAGCAACGCGAAGAACCUUACCAGGGCUUGACAUCCUACUAACGAGAUAGAGAUAUGUUAGGUGCCCUUCGGGGAAAGUAGAGACAGGUGGUGCAUGGUUGUCGUCAGCUCGUGUCGUGAGAUGUUGGGUUAAGU
rnacentral:rRNA from 1 species